GUCCUUCUGGAUAUUGAUUGUACUCUUCAGAAGCUAUUUCUCUCCAGUCUGCUCCUAUUUUUUGACUUUUUUUCAUUCAUGUGAUAUUUUCAUUAGGAAAAUGAGUUGGAACAGUGACAAGAUCAGCUGCUUCCCUUCCAGUCUAGAUGUUGGCAUGUAAAAGAAACUCCACAGUUUCUACACAUUAGUGAAUGUAGAAGUGCAGUAAAUGAAUCUUCAUGCAGUAUGAAAUUAUUGAUGUAAAUACCACGGGAAACAAAACAAUAGUGCAGUAUUAUAGUUUUGAUCCAUUUUCUUCCUUAUUGCUUCUGUUGUUCUGUUGACAAUAAUUUAUCACGUUCUUUUUCUGCAAUAUUACUUGGCUUUGUUUUAGUAUAGUUGUGUUUUGCCUUUAAAAUACUAUGAAAACUAUUAUUCUUGUUUUUUAAUCAUUAUCUAAUAAAAAAGAUAAAAUAUGGCAUCUUUUGGAAAUACUAGGUGAAAUGUUGAUUCUGAAACAAUGCUGGUAAAGAAAAAGCACAGUGGCUACCAGUUUUUCUUGUCUAUCAGAACACUGAAGAUGGGUUUUAUAUAGAUGGUUCUUUAAAAGAAAAGUGCCCAAAUUUCAGUUUCAACCUCCACGUGCUACUGAAUGCAAGCCUAUCCUAAUUUCAAAAUAUUGUUAAGAUAUUACAUCAUUGUACUUGAGCUCUAACAUUAGGUUAUGAAACCAAAACUGUGCACUGUGGACACCAGCAAGUUUGUCUCAAUGCUAUGGUUCUGUACCUGAGCAUUUCAUUAUUUUCUGAUUAUUCAAUUACAUUGCAGAUAAUGCCCAGUAAGAGAAUCAUCCCAGAUAGCAUGAAGAAAUAUUGCCUCUUAAGCUAAAUCUGCACGUAUUGGCAACUGAUUAUCCAAUUAGUUCAUGCUUAAUGCUGAAUUUGGUAUUUCUUGUGGCGUAUAUUUAUUUCCCAGUAGUUUUUAUACAGCAACAAAUAGCUGAAUGGAGUUACCCUGUUGCGCUUAAACUCAGAUCAGCUCCCUGCCUGCAUUUUUGUGGAUGUUGUCAAAGUUAUGCAUUCAGUUCAUGUUUAUUCCUUUAUUGUUAUUACUUGUUCUGCAUGCAUUUGUUUUCCAGUAGCUCUAGUUUGAUUGAAAAAAAUGGCCUGUGUUUAUUCUGUCAUGUCUGAACUAGACUCAGCUGCCUGCCUCUAUUUCUAAAAUAAUUCAAAUAUAGGUGGAUCCCUUUCCAGAUAUGUCUUUGAUUUGCACUCCUUAUCAGCCAUCCCACAUGUGCCUUAUAGCUAAGACAGCUAGGCUGUUCUGUUCUUCUUCAUGCUUGAGAUGGCUCAUCACCUUAAACAGCAACCUUUACUUUGCUAUAGUGCUAUUCUAUUUGUAUCCAUUUCUGUAGAGCUGUCUAUAAUGCAAACAUACAGAUAUCCAUACAGAACUCCCAGCCUCUGAAGCAAUAAGUGCUGUAUAACUUCUAUCACUAUUAAUACAAAUUUGUAAUGGCUUAAUGGAUUUUUUCAAUUGUUUAGAAUUCAGAAACUUCUUUACAAAUAUUUGUUAGCAAAUGCAAGACAAAAGGUUUUCAUUCUGAUAAGUCAGGCUCAAAUAAUUCUAGUAAGUGGAUUUAUAUUAGGCUUGUGAUCAGUCACUAGUGGGGUUCUAAAAGGCUUCAUUUUAGGGCCAGUUCUAUUUAAUAUUUUAAUUAAUCACCUGGAUGCAGGACUUGAAGACCUUAAAGGUAUGCGAAGUAAGUUUGAGGAUAGCACUAAACUGAGACAAGUUGUUAACUGGCUGGAGGGAAGAGAGGCCUUGCAUGACGUUCAGGAGGAAGUUCUGGAUUCUGCCACUUGGGACAGGACAGUCCUGGAUAUAUGUUAAGACUGGGUGAUGAGCAGCAACCCUGUGGAAAGUGAUCUGGAGGUUCUGUCCGAAAGCAAGUUGAAUGUGAGCCAGCAGCGUGCCCUGGAAGCCAAAAUGACCAACUGUACCCUGGGGUGCAUUAGACCCAGCAUUGCCAGCCAGGUGGGGGAGGGGUAGUCCUGCUCUGUGUCCAUAUCUGGAGCUCUGUGUGUGGCUUUAGGUGUCACAGUACAAAAGGGGCAUAAAACUACUAGAGAGAAUACACAGAAGAGCUCUAAAUAUGGUGAAGGGUGUGGAGGGCUUGAUCUCAUUGGGAGCUGGACUUAAUGAUCCUUGUGAACUCCUUCCAACUCAGGAUAUUCUAUGACUGAUAUAAAAAAAGAAAAUACAGAAAUAAUGAUUAAGAUGCUCAAUGCACGUGCUCUACAGGAAGGAAAAAAAAACCAACAAAACAUUGUGUACAGCUGUCAGAAGGUCAGAGGAUGAAUGAAUAUGACUUAUCAGUUGUGUGAUAAGAUUUUCAUAGAUAGGAUUCAUCAGUGUUCACCUUUCUCAGUCACGUUUCAGUCCCAUUUAUUUUCUGUCAGAAUUUACAGGCAUGAAUUGCAAAAUAGGAGGGAAUAUGUUCUGGGUACUGCCUAUUAAGUAAGGUAGGUCAUUUGGGCUGUCUUGGAUGCACAGAUUGAAUGACCUAGAUGUAACAUAAGGUUUCUUUUUUUGCAUAACUUCAAAGAUUUUUGAACAUACAGUUUCAGUAAGAUAUUCAUGUAGGAAUCAAGUGUCAGAAAAAAAAGAUUAAGGAGGAACAGUGGAUUCAGACAUGGUUCUGGACUGGGAUGAAUGGUGCAGAUGCUUGGCUUUUUUUUUUUUUGUAAGUUAUUUAGGAUGAUAACCACAAAAGAUUCUGUGCAGAAUUGUUUUACCCAGAAUAGUUAAGCAGCCCAGGGAGGUUUACAAAUUGGUUGCUACACCAUGGACUUUUCUCUAUGCUCUUGUGUGAAACAAUUUUAAAACGCUUAUCAGGGAUGUAGGAUUUUGGAGCUCUGAAUGGUAACCCAGAUGAAGUGAAUGUAUGUCAGGCACUUAUUAAAUCAGUAAAUAAACGUUUUUGUCUCUCUUUCCUCAGUUUUUACGUGCUAGCAGAAACUACAGGAUAUUAUGUGUAGACUCUUGUAUGUUGAAGAAUGUAAAGGGGAAAAAAAAUCAGCAGUGGAAAUCGGAGAAACUGCAUUGAAUUCAUAUGAUAACGUAUAAUGUAAUGUUUGAAAAUACUUGUGUGGAAGAGGCAAAGUUACAUAUUUUCAUCAAAUAAAGAAACUGAACUCCAGAAUUCCUUUACCCGCGUCCAGUACAUUAUUGUAUUGGUAACAGAGAGGUUGGUGCUCACUUUCCUGGAUUUACAACUGGGAGGAUAAGUGAGAAAAUGAUUACUGAUUUCAAAGAAUAAUUUUCUUUAUAUGUAAAUAAUGUUUGUAGUCUAAAUGUUGAAUAUGUGUGGCUGUAGUUUGAGCAGGUAAACUGUCUCUAAGAACAUGAAGAGAUAGUUCAUCUGUUUUUGUAGUUCAUCUUCUAAAAGUUUCUUUUCCUGUAAUAUGAAGUUAAAAAUUAACUUUUUCAAAGUUUUAUUUUCAAAGCCAGUUGUUCAUAAUGACCCACGAAUUUGUUUUCCUGCAGAUUGCCACUUUUGCUACCUUCAUCUGCCAUCUUGUGGUAUGUUAGCUUAAUCUCAGGUGUAUAGAUAUAUCUCUAUUUUUACUGUUUUACUUUUUUUUUCCGAUUUCACACUUGUAAUUUCUAGAAUGAGGCAAGCUGAUUUUAUUUUUGUGAACUAACCUGUACAGUAAAUGGAUUUUCAAGCACUGUUUUCAGUAUUGGAAAAAUAAAAAUAAAAAAAAAA
ensembl:lncRNA